AGGACGAACGCUGGCGGCGCGCUUAAUACAUGCAAGUCGAGCGAGAACCAUGGCUUCGGCCAUGGGGACAGCGGCGAACGGGUGAGUAACACGUGGGUAAUCAACCCCCGACACCGGGAUAGCCCAGGGAAACUUGGAUUAAUACCGGAUACCCCAUCCGGCUUUCGAGCCGGCUGGAAAAGGGUAGCUUCGGCCUCCGGUCUGGGACGAGCCCGCGGCGGAUUAGCUUGUUGGUGAGGUAAAAGCUCACCAAGGCGACGAUCCGUAGCUGGUCUGAGAGGACGAUCAGCCACACUGGGACUGAGACACGGCCCAGACUCCUACGGGAGGCAGCAGUAGGGAAUCUUGCGCAAUGGGCGAAAGCCUGACGCAGCGACGCCGCGUGAGGGAAGAAGGCCUUCGGGUUGUAAACCUCUUUCAGGAGGGACGAAGCCACUCGGGUUAAUAGCCCAGAGGGUGACGGUACCUCCAGAAGAAGCCCCGGCUAACUACGUGCCAGCAGCCGC
rnacentral:rRNA from 1 species